GUACCAUAACUGGCAAACACUCAGGCAUUGAAGUGCUGGCAGUCCGUUCCUCAUAUACUCCUAGGUGAUUGAUCACAGGUGUACUGACUCGGUCAGCAGGCACGCCUUCCAGGUAGUGCAGCCUCGAGGCACCAUCUAGUGGAUGAUGAGGGAAGCAGCAGACAAACAGAAAAUCCCCACAAACAGCCAAAACCCCAGUUCCCAACAGUACACCCCACCCACCACUUGGCAGCCCAGAGACUACAACUACAAUGGUAGUUGGUGAUAAGUGAAGGGUCAAGAAUAAAUGAUCCAGGGACCCCAGGAACUUGUCACUGACUCUUCAUCAAAGGCGGAGAGAGACUUGGCAACCAGUGGGUAAAAUCCAAGGCGCCAUGAGGAAGCACCUGAGAGAGAGGCGACAGGGAAAAAUUACUUGAAACAAUCUCAGAGAAACUUCAAAGAGCAGACUCAGAGGGGUUUUAAGUACCAUAACUGGUAAACAUUCAGAUGUCUAAGUGCUGGCAGUCAUAUACUCCUGGGUGAUGAGGUUAUUGAUCACAGGUGUACUGACUCAGUCAGCAAUCACGCCCUCCAAGUAGUGCAGCCACUAGGCACUGGACAGGAGAGUCCUUCACAUUUUCCCUAAUUUUUGCCUCUGGAAGAACUGGAAACUACAGUUCACCUUAACUAUUUGUUAAGGUAGCAAAUAGGUAAUAAAAAGGCAAAUUGUCCUGCCCUUAUGGACGGGGUCUUUUAGUCCAUAAAAGACCCUGAGGGACAUGGAUGUUUUUUUUUUUACUUAGUUUCUUUCUUUCUUUUGGAAAAAUAAUAAAUCUAUGCAUAAAAAGAACUAAGUCAUCGACCUCAGUGGAUGAUCAGGGAAGCAGCAAACAGAAAAUCCCCACAAAGAACCAAACCCCCAGUUUCCAACAAAAAUGUGUACAAAUCCUCAUUAAGUUUGCAGGUUUCUGUAAUGUACAAAAAUUAAGACACCAAUAAAUAAUGUCAGAGCUUUUCCCAUCUCUAGAAUGACAUUAAUCCUGUAUUAUUUGACUAGACACACUUGCCAGAAUAGAAAAUGUAAAGGAACAUAGAAAAAUGCUAUGAUCUGGUUGCAGAAAUCUGCACAUCUUUAAACUAUGUUAUUGAACCACCAAGGGAUUUAAGUUUAUUCUUCUUGAUUAAAGUCUUCAAUCAGGUUCAACAAUCAAGAUUAACCAUGAAAACAAAAAAAUAUUACAUUGAAUCUGAGAAAGUAUUUCUGGAGGGAGCUAAAGAUUAGGAUAACCCUAAUCUUUUGUUAAGAUCCUACAGAUCUUUAAUAAGAUCAGGUACAUGAGGAAACAUGCAGAAAGAUUUAACAACUGUAAUGCCAUCAAAGUUUUUCCAUACAUUUUUGAGUAAUAAAUGAAUAAUUAAAUACUUCUGACAUUUUGAUUUUUUGUUUCUAUUUAGCUGAAGAAAGUUAUGGCACAUAAUAUUCACUAUAUUGAAAAUACAUCGUGAUGCUACAUGGUAAAAAAAAAAAGCAACAAAAAAACCCAAAACACCUUAUAGACGGAAAAUACAGG